rnacentral:rRNA from 1 species
AUGGAACGGGAGGCGCGACACGUAACGGUGGUUCUUGCGGUGGCGGCUCUCGUCACCGCCGGCGGGCAACUCUCGCCCACCUUCUAUGACAAGACGCGCCCGUCGCUCCAGCCAAUUGUUCGACGUGGCAUGGCGCAAGCUGUGCCAGUUUCUAUAUUAUGGGACGCUCCCGUUUCGUCGCACGCAGUGGAGGGCACGCCCUCGGCCCAUUUGCGCGCUGCAACAUCUCGGUGUACUGAACGGCGGUGGUGGUCGGUGUUGGCGGCGUGGAGCUCUGUGGCGGCGGCGGAAGAAGUCAGCGGCGCUCGGGAGUGGGAGCGAGGAGGCGGGGUCGCGCGACAUGGAGCGCAUGAUGCCGGUGCGCGCCUGCGGCUGCUGCGCGGAGCAAGCACGCACGGCCUGCUGCGCGCGGGAGCUGCUCCCGCUCGCUGGCCGGACGAGGAGUCGGACGCGCCUUCUUCUCCUGGCGGCUCUCAAUUCUCAAAGGGCGGCGCUCCAGUGGCUCUUGAAGAACAAUUGGAUCCACGCACAAAAGUUGUUCGAUGA